AAGACCGAAGCAAGGUGAGGACUUCCAGUUUGCCCGCUGGAUUAUUCGUUCACCAGACCCCACGCCGGCACCAAUUCCUUUCAAGACUGCGUCGGCUAGGGUGUGUUCCUUUUUUGCCGCUCGGGGUGCUGCUGUACAUAUAUAGCAGCGCGAGCGAUGGGAUGGACGUCGAGCUUGACCUACAUACGACGUAAGAGUGGCUUUAAGUGGCGUUGUGAUGUGCCGCUGUUGUGUAGCACAGCACAGCACAGCACAGCACAGCACAGCACAGCAGAGGAGUUGCCGAUACUAAAGCCCAACUGCAGCGUUCCCAAGCCGCCUCUACCAAAAGGGAGGGAUUCUGCCUGACCCGACUUCUUUACUGCUUUUCCCCUCCUAACAUCUCCCGUCGCUACCGCCACUCUGGGAAGGACUCUGCCUCGCAUCGCACCCCAACGCCCGCCGCCACCCAGGAAGAACUCUGCCUUGCACCGCACUGCCCGGUAAACUCUCCGCCACCGUUGUCGCCACCGCUGCCGUCGGCGUCCAGGGAGAGACUCCGCCUGUCACCGGACUGUUCCUGCUGCAGCUUAUGGAGGGAAUUGAGUUCUGGCUUGCCUUGCCAAUAUUUCCUUACUGGUGUUUGUACUUGUACGGCAAUGGUGUUGAUGCCAUUACUAAAUUGUAAUAAAUUAUUUUUAGUGUUCCGUCAGUGUGGUAUUGAUGUAUUUGCACAAGUGUAGUGUUGUGGUGCCUUUACUGAUUUGUAAUAAAUGGUUUAAUUCCCUCGUUGUGCUGCUAAUGUACUUGCAUAGCGACUGUGACACUGCUGAAUAGUAAUAAAUUGUGAAAUUUGU